GACGAACGCUGGCGGCGUGCUUAACACAUGCAAGUCGAGCGAGGCCCCUCCUUCGGGAGGGUGUCCUAGCGGCGAACGGGUGAGUAACACGUGGGCAACCUGCCCUCAGCUCUGGGAUAACCCCGGGAAACCGGGGCUAAUACCGGAUACGACCUCCACGGGCAUCUGCGGAGGUGGAAAGGGUUUCCGGCUGAGGAUGGGCCCGCGGCCUAUCAGCUAGUUGGUGGGGUGAUAGCCCACCAAGGCGACGACGGGUAGCCGGCCUGAGAGGGCGACCGGCCACACUGGGACUGAGACACGGCCCAGACUCCUACGGGAGGCAGCAGUGGGGAAUAUUGCGCAAUGGGCGAAAGCCUGACGCAGCGACGCCGCGUGAGGGACGAAGGCCUUC
rnacentral:rRNA from 1 species